GAAUGAUAUGAUGAACUUCAUACUAGUGAUUGCUGCUGAUAUGAUGGCAUUUUAUCAUGUAUUAGCUCUAGCUGAUCAUUC
rfam:Solanum tuberosum cultivar DM 1-3 516 R44 scf00172_15, whole genome shotgun sequence.